GGAGGGGUGUCCGAGUGGUCGAAGGUGACAGACUCGAAAUCUGUUGUGCCGCAAGGCACCGUGGGUUCGAAUCCCACCCCCUCCG
rnacentral:tRNA from 1 species